rnacentral:lncRNA from 1 species
CAGGCUGACAACGCAAGCCUCAGUACCAACGGGCUCGGCAGCAGCCCGGGCAGUGCCGGGCACAUGAACGGAUUAAGCCACAGCCCGGGGAACCCGUCGACCAUUCCCAUGAAGGACCACGAUGCCAUCAAGCUGUUCAUUGGGCAGAUCCCCCGCAACCUGGAUGAGAAGGACCUCAAGCCCCUCUUCGAGGAGUUUGGCAAAAUCUACGAGCUUACGGUUCUGAAGGACAGGUUCACAGGCAUGCACAAAGAUGCAAGGAGGCUGGUACUAUCAUCAUCCUCAUUUUACAGAUGAGGACACCGAGGCACAGAGCACCUGAGCGACUUGCCCAGUAAAUCCCCAAUUUGAGACCCUGGUUCUUAAUCCUUUAGUACCCACCUCCACCUGGGUCAUCCUACCCUAGAGCCUCCAUCCUCUGGGAAAGUAGCAAUUUGGGGUAAAAAAAUAAUAAUAAAGGAAUGAGCUAAGAGUA